AAGUCGUAACAAGGUUUCCGUAGGUGAACCUGCGGAAGGAUCAUUAUCGUAGGGCUUCGGCCCUGUCGAGAUAGAACCCUUGCCUUUUUCGAGUACCGUCCGUUUCCCCAGCAGGCUUGCCUGCUACUGGGGACCCAAAACCAAACUCUUUUGUACCUGUAAUCGUCUGAAAACAAAACAAAAAUUAAAACUUUUAACAACGGAUCUCUUGGUUCUG
rnacentral:misc_RNA from 1 species